rnacentral:RNase_P_RNA from 2 species
GGCGGGAAGCUCAGCGGUGGGGCCACGCGCGGAGUGCGCGUCACUCUCCCGGCCCCUGGGAAGGUCUGAGACUCGGGCCAGCAGCGGCCCUAGCAGGGCCCUCCCCGCGCGCGGGGGGGUGAGUUCCCAGAGAGCGGGCCCCGGCGAGGGCCUUCGGGCAGGAGAGGCCGCGCGCGCGCGGCGGAUGCCCCCUCCCCGGGGCUUGGAAUAGACUCACGGCCGGCACGGUGAGUUCAAUGGCUGGGCCGGGGCACCCGAGCUGGCCGGCAUCGGGCCGCGGGGCUCCGGAACCCAAUUCAGACUACUCUCCCCCGCC